UAGAGUUAAGAGUUCUCAAGGUGG
rnacentral:piRNA from 1 species